UUAUGGCAAAUCCAGAUAGAGCUCCCACUUUUCGUAAGAAGAUUCCAGCCAUGGUCUGUUUACAAGGUGGCUGCAUUGGGGAACAUCGGAAGCAUAUGGUGUUCCUCGGAAAUGGAAACCUUCUAUGGAAGCCGUAAAAGUUGAGGCAGAUAGCAUUGGUGAGCGCCUGGCCUGAUGGUCCAUUUUCAUAAGUUUAAAAUGGAGAAAGCGAUAUCAGCAUUUGGAAUUUCAAGAGUCCUUGCCUAGUUGUUAUAUCAUUGGAAUUUAGGACCCUUUAAUAUCUUCAUCAGUUUCAAUGUGACACACGUGGCGUUGUCACUGGUCUAGAAUACCAGAAGCUACUACCCUCAGCCUCGCC